AAUGAGACCCAAGAACCCCCAGCGACUCCUUGGACACUUUUCACCGUGUUCUGUUAGGGGGCUUAAAGGUGUGUUCUGU